rnacentral:ncRNA from 1 species
GAGAGCCGGAUGCUCGGAAACGGGCCAGUCCGGUUCGGAGGGAGGCCGAGCGGAAAAGGGCCUGCACUGGCAGGCACCUCGCCGCUCGGCCGACCCUAC